rnacentral:lncRNA from 1 species
CUAAACUUCACCAUCUUCUUCUGCUCCACUCCCAUCAUCCUCCAAUCCCUCCCCGACCACCGCGACACCCCGAUCACCCUCGUCCCCCUCCACCUCCCCUCCCCGCCGGACCUCCCGCCGGAGCUCCACACCACCAAGCACGCGCCGCCCCACCUCAUGCCGCGCCUCCGGGAGGCCUUCGACGCCUCCAAAGCCGCCUUCUCCGCCAUCCUCGCCUCCCUCAACCCCAGCAUGCUCAUCUACGACGGCUUGCAGUCCUGGGCCGCCGAGGCCGCCGCCGCCCUAAACAUCCCCGCCGUCCACUUCGCCACCACCGGCGCCACCACCUACUCCUUCUACUACCACCACCUCACCAGGAAGGGCUCCCCCUUCCCCCACGACGCGAUUUACCUCCACCCCCACGAGUGGGCGGCGCGUGGGUUCACCGUCACCAAUCUCAAAGUGGACGACGGCGUAGACAGCGGGCUCUCCCACUUCAACCGCUCCCGCGACGUCGUUUUGAUGAAGACGUCGCUGGCCGCAAGGUAGUACAUGGAUGAUACGAGUGAGGUACCAAAGGAGGUGCAUGUUGAGGAGCAGAGGGCUAGUAGGGAGAUUGAGCCCGUGGUGUUCGACACGAGAGAGACGGGCCGUGAGGAGGAGUUGGAUGACGUCGGAAGUUCACGGCCUAAGAGGAGUCUUCGUGGGCCUAAGAAAUAUGAAGACUUUAUUAUUUAUCGUUAAUUGUUUUGUUAUUUUUUUUGAUCGGGCCUAGCCCGAUCUUUUCAUUAUCGAGUCGAGCCUAUUCCAAGCUCCUUUUCGGGUUUUCUUGUUGGUUCUUUCCCGAAUCGUAGGUCGAACCAAACCUAGGGUCCUUAGUAUUUAUAGAUGAUUAGCGUUGUAUUAUUCUUCACCUUGAUUAAUACAAACCCUAAUUUAUCUUUCUUGCGUGUUUUCUUUUCCCGACCAAUCCCGGCGUGUACGACGAGUUCCAUUCUCGCGUCCGUCUCUAUCUUGAUAGGCUCUAAGCUUAUCAACUGGUGCUUUCAUCUAUUGAACCAUGUCGAUUCCUUCUAGUUCUGGUGUCAAUUCGGUGCCGGUUUCGUCAAAGUUGGAGACAUCGCAGCCUCCGUUGGGUGGUGGCUCCACCAUCGUUCAUUCGCCCUUAUCUUCGGAGGCUGUUCUAGCGUUGCUUCGACGUUUGGAGACUCGCUUGGACGCUUGUGAGAGUCAUAUGGCAUUGACGCAGCAUAAUCGUCGCCCGGAUCCAGACCCGCCUUACGGGAUGCCCCCGGCAUGGAAGUCGGCAGGGUGGAGUCCGGGAGGGCCAUCUUCUACAGCCGUUGAGGUGACGACGGCUCGUUCGACGUCGCUACCCGUAUCCUCCGUAUUCCAGCCGCUGCCUUCAUCAUUGGCGAACCCGCCACCGUCGAUUACGUUCGCAUCGACGACGGUCCCUCCGUCAUUCCCACCGGGGUGGGCUCAGUUUGGGUCCGUGCCGCCGCCUUCUACAACUUUGUAUGGGGAGGGACAGCAGCAUCACGUGGGGUUUUCUCCCUCACAUGUAGGGUUUCCGCAAGGAGCAGGAAACCCAAAUUUUCAUGCACGGACAGCGUGGGACCCACCAGGGGCUGGGCCGCACCACGGUCAGCAUGGGCUUCGUUCUAGUUUGCCCCAGUCCGUGCCCGAUCCAUCUCGCUUGCUCAAGCUGGACCCACCGACAUUCGACGGGUCCGAUGCCCACAGUUGGGUGACGAGGAUUCAGUAUUUCUUCGAUCACAUUAUGCUAUCGGAGGAGCAUCGUUUGCACUACGUUGUCAUGCUCUUUCUACCACCCGCUUCCGAUUGGGUUUUUUCCUAUAGAGCGAGUAAUCCGGGAGCUUCGUGGGGCCAGUUUCUUGAGGACGUGCGACGCAGAUUUGAUCCCCAUUAUUUCACCAAUUACAUCGAGCUCAUCGCGAAAUUGUCGCAGACCGGGACUCUCGCGGAGUUCAAUCAAGAGUUUGAGCGAAUGCGGAAUCAGAUUACGGGAGUGCCGGAGUCGACGUUGCUUCCAAUUUAUUUGGGGGGAUUACGGAGUUCGAUUCGCAAUCAGGUGCGCUUUCAGCACCCGUCUUCGGUAGCGGCAGCCAUGGCGUUCGCAACCGAGUUUGACGCGGCCGUGGAGCGUUCGCCAGGCUUGGCUCGGCGCUCGUGGCCACCGAGGGAGUCGCGCCCGGCUGUUGCGCCCGUACCGGCCACUCCGGUAGCCGAGAGUCAGCAAGGGGGACAGCCCUCUUCUCGCCCUCGUGACUAUUCAAAACUUCCGGUAGUCCGUUUGUCAUCGGCGGAGAAGGCAGAGAAGACUCGCCUGGGGUUGUGUUGGUAUUGCUCGGAUAAGUGGGCGAGGGGCCAUGUUUGCAAAGGGAAGUUCUUGGCUUACAUGGGAUCGGAUGAUGAGGAUGACACUGAGGAGCCAUCCUGCGACGCACCGGCCUCGACGGAGGUGGUAUCGGCCGAUCUAUCUCACAUCUAUCGCAUGGAUGGCCAAUCGAGGGCCACAUCGUUGGAGUUUCGUGGAUUCUUGGGGGGCUCGGACGUGUUCAUAUUGGUGGAUUCCGGUAGCACUCACAAUUUUGUUCAUCCGGAUAUUGUGGAAAAAGUUAAGUUACCUCUAACGUCGAUUCGUCCCUUUCGUGUUUUUGUGGGCAAUGGCCAAUUUCUAACCUGUUCUUAUAUGUGUGCUAGCGCCGAGUUGCGUAUUCAGGGCCAUUCGUCGUUGUUAGAUUUGUAUGUGUUGCCGGUGUAUGGCCAGGAGGUGAUUUUAGGGAUGUCAUGGCUACACUCCCUCCACCGUGUGACGAGUGAUUACGAUGCGGGUACGGUGGAAUUUCAGAGCGGGGGCCGGCGAGUGUGUUUGAAGGUGACGCCACGGAAACCACGCCAAAUUUCGGUGCAUACACUUGCCACCAUAUUGUUGCAUCCGGAGGAUGUCAAUUGUUAUGAGCUAGUUCCAAUUUCCGAGUCCACGCCCACAUUGGAUGAGGGGUUGAAAUUGGCCGACUCUUUGCCAAUCAUCAUCCGUGAGGUGCUUCUUCAGAAUGAGGCCGUAUUUGCGGUGCCAAAGGGUUUGCCCCCGUCCCGUGUUUUCGAUCACAAGAUACAUCUUCUCCCGAAUUCGAAGCCGGUUAAUGUGAGGCCGUAUAGAUAUCCCUAUUUUCAGAAAAAUGAGAUUGAGCGUCAGGUUCGCGAGAUGUUGGAGAUGGGAAUUAUUCGGCGAAGCUGCAGCGCCUUCUCGUCUCCGGUCCUGUUGAUUCGUAAGAAGGACGGUUCGUUUCGCUUCUGUAUAGAUUAUCGGGCCCUCAAUGCGGUCACCGUGGCGGAUAAUUUUCCCAUCCCUACGACAGAUGAGUUGUUUGAUGAGUUAGGGGCCGCGCGGAUUUUCACAAAGCUUGAUUUGCGGUCGGGAUAUCACCAGAUUCGGAUGCAUACCGAUGAUAUUUAUAAGACGGCUUUCCGCACUCACGACGGGCAUUUCGAGUUCCUGGUAAUGCCGUUCGGUCUCACGAACGCGCCAUCCACCUUUCAGGCGGCCAUGAACGAGAUCUUCAGGCCGUUACUUCGCCAUUUUGUCAUCGUGUUCUUCGACGACAUUUUAAUCUAUAGCCAGUCGGUGGAGGAACACGCGUCCCAUCUUCAGGAAGUCUUCUCGAUCUUGCUCGGCCAUCACUUCUUCAUUAAGCUAUCCAAGUGUUCGUUUGCAUGCACAACGGUGGAUUACUUGGGGCACGUUAUUUCGGGAGGACAGCUUAAGGCCGACGUCUCGAAGAUAGAAGCCAUGGUUGCUUGGCCAAGACCGACGUCCGUUAAACAACUUCGUGGGUUUCUAGGCCUGACGGGGUAUUAUCGCCGAUUUGUGGCGGGCUAUGCAAUGCUAGCAGCCCCUCUCACCGACUUACUCAAGAGAGAGGCGUUCGAGUGGUCGGAGAAAGCGGAGGAGAGUUUCGAACGGCUGAAGCAAGCCAUGACGACAGCCCCAAUAUUGCGUCUGCCCGACUUCAGUAAGACGUUUUAUGUGGAAACUGACGCGUCGGAUUUUGGAGUGGGCGCCGUUCUCCUUCAAGACGGACAUCCCAUAGCCUUCUUUAGCAAGAAACUCGGUCCUCGGCGACGAAUUUCGUCCACAUAUCACAAGGAACUCUAUGCCAUUGUCGAAUCUGUGCAGAAAUGGCGCCAGUAUUUAUUGGGUCGGGAAUUCGUGAUUCGUUCGGACCAGAAAAGCUUGAAGGAACUUUUGCAGCAAGUUAUUCAGACCCCGGAUCAGCAGUUGUACGUCCGUAAGCUCAUGGGAUAUAAAUUUCGUAUAGAAUACAAGACCGGGGCAUUGAAUCGGGUGGCGGACGCGUUGUCGCGUCGUGAGGGAGAACCGGCGGCCACGGAGGAAGCCUCGUUAUUUGCAGCGGUUUCCCACCCCCUCCCUGAUAUCUUAGAGAUAAUCCGUGAGGAAGUCCGCACUAAGCCGGAUUUGCAGCAGCUGGUGGCGCAAGUGGAGGAUGGCACGGCUGCGCCCAUGUGGUCGUUGAGGGAUGGAGUUCUCUAUAGGGGGCAGCAGAUUAUGGUGUCGGAAACCUCGGCAGCGAAGGGGGCGUUGCUCUAUGAGCAUCAUUCAACACCCAUGGCAGGCCAUCCUGGCGUCGAGCGUACUCUUCGUCGCAUUGCUUCGUUGUUUUAUUGGGUAGGGUUACGUCGUGAGGUGAAGGAGUACGUCGCGGCUUGUUUGGAAUGUCAGACAACGAAGUACUCGACGCAGAAACCUGCGGGCUUGCUCCAACCAUUACCGAUUCCAAGUCAAGUCUGGGAGCAUGUAACGAUGGACUUCAUCACGGGACUUCCACAAUCUCGUGGAUUUACGGCUAUUAUGGUGGUGGUGGACCGUUUAUCUAAGUACGCUCAUUUCGCGCCACUUCCGACUAAGUUUGACGCGUGGAGGGUGGCGAAUUUGUUUGUGGAUACGGUGGUUAAACAUCACGGUUUUCCAGCCUCUAUAGUUUCCGAUCGCGACUCGGUGUUUCUAAAUGAGGUGUGGGAAAACUUGUUUAAAUUGAGUGGGACGAAACUUCACUUCACCACGGCAUAUCAUCCCCAAUCCGAUGGACAGACGGAGGUUCGCAAUCGGGGAUUGGAACAAUAUCUUCGUGCCUUUGUAUCGGAGCGUCCAUCGAAGUGGACGAAUUUUUUACCGUGGGCGGAAUUAGCUCUUAAUUGUUUCUACCAUGAAGGUCUCGGCACUUCGCCAUUUCAUGCCCUAUAUGGCCGCGAACCACCAGCUUUGGUGGCUGUUCCUCCGCGUGCUUCGUGCCCUUCGACGGUGGCGGAUAUUAUUCGCAAGCGCGGAGAGUUGUUGGUGGAGCUUCGUCACAACCUUGAGCGCAUGCAGCAGCGAAUGCGGGAUGUGGCUAAUCGGCAUCGCCGUCAUGUGGAGUUUAAGGUCGGAGAUCGUGUGCUGCUGAAAUUGCAGCUUUACAGACAACACUCCGUUGCUCGGCCGUUGUCUCAGAAGUUGAGUCGUCGUUUUUACGGACCGUUCGAGGUUUUGGAGCGUGUGGGUCCCGUGGCGUACCGUUUGCAGUUGCCGGAGGGGAGCAGAAUCCACAACGUCUUUCAUGUGAGCUUGCUACGGCCUUUCGUGGAUGGGGGUGUAUCUUUGGCGUCGCCAUUCCCUUCGUUCUUCGCGCGGGGCCGAGUGGUGUCGAAGCCUUUGAAGCUUGUUGACAGGCGUACAGUUUGGCGGCAGAACAUGGCGGUUGAGGAGGGUCUCCUCCACUGGGAAGAUGAUGGUGGCAGCACUCCUACGUGGGAACCCAUGGAGGUUAUUAAUCGUCGAUUCCCGUCGCUCGUCCUUGAGGACAAGGACGCUUUCAUCGAGGAGGGAGUUGAUACGAGUGAGGUACCAAAGGAGGUGCAUGUUGAGGAGCAGAGGGCUAGUAGGGAGAUUGAGCCCGUGGUGUUCGACACGAGAGAGACGGGCCGUGAGGAGGAGUUGGAUGACGUCGGAAGUUCACGGCCUAAGAGGAGUCUUCGUGGGCCUAAGAAAUAUGAAGACUUUAUUAUUUAUCGUUAAUUGUUUUGUUAUUUUUUUUGAUCGGGCCUAGCCCGAUCUUUUCAUUAUCGAGUCGAGCCUAUUCCAAGCUCCUUUUCGGGUUUUCUUGUUGGUUCUUUCCCGAAUCGUAGGUCGAACCAAACCUAGGGUCCUUAGUAUUUAUAGAUGAUUAGCGUUGUAUUAUUCUUCACCUUGAUUAAUACAAACCCUAAUUUAUCUUUCUUGCGUGUUUUCUUUUCCCGACCAAUCCCGGCGUGUACGACGAGUUCCAUUCUCGCGUCCGUCUCUAUCUUGAUAGGCUCUAAGCUUAUCAAUGGAUUACCUUUCUCAGUUGUGUAACAAGAAAAUACUCGCCGUCGGCCCACUCAUUACAACCGCCUCCGACAAUGCCGGAAAUGGUAAGAGAAUUUUUGUGCAAAAACUGUUAUAGAAAAUAUAGGCUAUAGCGAGAUUUUUUUUAUGCAGAUUCCGACAUCAUGGAUUGGUUAAGCAAGAAAGAGAGAUACUCGACCAUUUUCGUUUCAUUCGGAAGCGAGAACUACCUGUCCAAGAAUCAAAUGCAAGAAAUAGCGAAAGGUCUAGAAGCUUCGAAAGCCAACUUCAUAUGGGUGGUGAGGUUUCCUCGAGGAGAGAGAGGGGAAGAAACCGAAGAAGCGAUCCCGUUAGGGUUUGGUGAGAGAGUUGGAGAGAGAGGGAAGAUGGUGGAGGGGUGGGCCCCGCAGACCAAGAUUUUGGCUCAUGAGAAUGUUUGUGGUUUCAUUAGUCAUUGUGGGAUGAGUUCUACGAUGGAGAGCUUGUAUUUCGGGGUGCCGGUGAUCGGCGUUCCGAUCAAGCUCGAUCAGCCGUUGAAUUCAAGGCUGCUGACGGAGGCUGGUCUUUGUGUCGAGGUGGCGAGAGACGAGAAUGGAGAUUUUCGAGGAGAUGAUGUGGCGGCGGCGAUCCAAAAAGUUGUGGAGAGUGGGGAGGGGAUGAGGGUUAAGGCGGCGGAGAUGAUAGAGGCGAUGAGGGCGGAGGAAGAGUUCGCGGUUAGGGAGGCCGCCGAGCAUCUCAGGCGAAUUUGUGUCGAGCGUAUGAUCUAGUUGGUGGAGUGACAGAUUUUUUAAUAUUAUAAAAAUAAAGAAAAAAUAGUACUCAAUGGUAGAAUAAUCAAUAUUUUAAUAUUAUAAAUUUCAAGUUUGAGUUUAUUAUCAUGCAAAUUCUUAGAAUAUUUGUUUCUCUUGAAAAAAGAUACAGUAUAAAGAGAAUGUAGAGUGACUGAGGUUUAUUUAAUUUCGUGUAUAGAAUUCGUAGGUUUUAUGUGGAAUAGAGAGAUUAAGUCAUGCAUUUGCACACGUUAUAUAUAAAUGUGUUAGUUCUUAAAAAUUUGUAGGAUUGUUGUUAUAUAAAAUUAUUUAAUUAUUUCAAAUUUUGAUGCCUAUUCUUUGUUUCAUUGUUAAUUUUUAAUUAUUAUUUUUUCAAUUUAAUUUUUUAUAGUGUCGUACAGUUUUAAAAUUAAUUAUUAACUAUGGUUCAUUGAUCUAAUUAGGAUAUUUAUAUAAUUAUUUUUAUACUUUAUGUUGUGAUUUUUGAUUUAUAAUUCGUAAUUGGACUUACUUUACCCAUAAUUAGAUACAUAAUUUCCCUUUCUUAAAUUUAAAUUUCGAGUGAUGAAUAUUUAUUAUGAUUCAUUAUACCUUUCAUUUUAAUUCUUUGUAAAAUAGUGAAAUGAAAUUAAUGUUAUAAGACACUAAAACCAAUGAUAUAUUAUGUAGAAAAACUUAUAAUAUGCAAACACCUACUGUAUUACUUAAAGAAAAUGAAAGAGAUCUGAUCGCCAUAUAUAUAUAGAUUAACCCUUGUAAAAUAAUGAGAUUCUCUAGAGAAAUAUUACAGCAAUAUUCAUGUCUAGUGUCCGGCCGUCAAAGAGUUAAUAUUCGUAUUCAAACACUAGUAAAAUUAUAAUUAUAUAUACUACUCUUAAAUAUUAUAGUGUCCCACUUGCAAUAUCAUAUGUACUAUUAAAUGUAUCAUUUUAAUAAUUAAUGCAUGUGCAUACUGUGAAAUUUCUUUAUAAACAAUGCUGGAGAUAGUCAGAAGAGAACGGGAAUCACAUGCUCAAAUAAAUGUAUAUUACAAGACAAGUUGUUAAUUGAGAGUAAUUAUAGAUUGACAAAUCAGGAUCUUUAUGGAGUAAUUAUUAUGUGAUGAGGAAUCGUAAUGGAGGCAUGAACAUCACUGACAAAUUGCAACAAACAACAAGAAAACUACAUAUUGUGAUAAAGUAAUGGACAUGGCCCUCAUUGAUUAAAGAAGACUACUUCAAAUUUGAUCUGUUAUGUCAUCAAAUCUUGCCUUGAUUGAAAAACAUUUUGAGAUCUGCAAUAAAAAAUAUAACUUUCUUUUUUGUGUCUUAUUAAUUAAAAAAAUGUGUGAGACCCAACAAUGAGGCCCAUCAACUUAUACUAAUUCUUAUGUCCCACGAAUCUUGAUACGUAUUUUUUUUUUGGUCGUCCCAUGAAUCUUGACACAUUUUCAAAUAUGAUACUCCCUUCGUCCCACGAAUCUCGAGUCAUUUUCUGUACGGGAAUUAAAGAGUUAAAUGUAGUGUUUUAAGUGUGUAGGUAAUAAAGUAGAAAAGUGAUUAGAUAAAUGUGUAGGUAAUAAAGUAGAAAAGUACACAAUUAGUUAACAUAAAGUUUAAUUAAAACUCCUUAUUUUCCCCCUAAUUCUUAGUGUAUAUAGAAAUUACUCAAGAUUCGUGGGACGGUCGAAAAAUGAAAUUGACUCAAGAUUCGUGGGACGUAUGGAGUAAUAAUUAUUACAUUAUCGCUCCUACUUUAUCACUUUUAUUACCUCAUCUCUCCUAUUUUAUCACUUUUUAUUGCCACAUCUCUCCUAUUUUAUCAUUUUUAUACUUUAUUAUCUAUACACUUAAAACACUAAUUUACAAUUUUUUUAAUUCUUGUGUCCAAACCAAACGUAUCAAGAUUUGUGGGACGGAGAAUAUAUACCUCAACUUCCGUAUAACUAUAAUAAUGUAGGCCAUUAAUUCAUGUUAAGUCCAUUUAGACAUGUUCACAAAAAUGAGGCCCAUCAACUUAUACUUUAUUUACGAUAUUCUGGUGGUUUCAUUCUUAUUUUAAUGUUUUGAAGAAAUAUCAUAUUCUGUCAUAAUGUUUAAUUUCCUUUUUAAUAAUACCACACUUUUUAAAUUUUGACAAAUUAAUAUUACAUGUAUUAUUUUGAUAUUCUUUUUAAUAAUAUCAUGAAGCUUAAACAUAAAAGUCCAUAUAGCUAGCUAGCCCAUAUGUUACUAGUUGGGCUAUAUGUGUUGUAGAAUUCCUAAUAUUCCUAGAAUCAAUCAAUAGAAUAUUACAAGUCAAUCUAAACUAUAUGUCAAUAAUAGCAAGUUUGAAAAGAGAUUAAAAAUCAAAAGAAAGACUAUAUUAUAGUAUAUAUAUAUAGAUAUAUAUAUAUAUAUAUAUAUAUAUANGAAAAGAGAUUAAAAUACAAAAGAAAGACUAUAUUAUAUAUAUAUAUAUAGAUAUAUAUAUAUAUAUAUAUAUAUAUAUAUGCAUGAGAAUUGACUUCUUUGGUUACCUUUUUGUCAAAAAGAAAUGUUGAACUAAUAAAUUAAUCAUUUGAAGCAUUUUUUUUCGUGUGUAUCACAAACGUACGUGGUACUCUUGGUCCAUUACAAAUGUCCCACUUAUCAUAAUAAGAUGUCUCAUUCUUUUUUUGGCAAUAAACUCUCUCUAUAUCUAAUAUUUAAAUAAUUUCUAUCAACUCACUUUAUCUACUUUCUACAUAUUUCUUAAUCUUCGUGCUUAAAAGUAAUGAAACAUUUAUAAUGAGAUGGAGAGAGUACAUAUUUUCUCACUUAUAGAGUGGUAUCAGAUCACCAUAUACACCAUCAAUUCAAAUCCUGAUCUUUUACUAUUGUGGUAUUUUUUUUAUUGUAUUUAUAAAUUAUUAACAUGCACUAUUAAAAAAGUUUAUAGAUGACGCUCAUAAAGCAUCAUUUAUGUAUGUCUAAAGUAUCAAACAUAACUGUCAUCUAUAUGUUCAUAAAUGACGCUUUGUACAUUAUAGAUGACAUUUAAAAGCGUCAUCUAUUCAUAUUAAACAUCAUAAUUGAUGCUUAGAUGACGAUUUUUUACCGCCAUCUAUUUAUUUUUCUAUUUAAACGAUCUUUUGGGAUUUUUUUUGAAUUUCUUGUUUUAAAUUUUAAAAUUCAAUUAAUUGUAGUAUAAAAAAAACAUAUUUCAACACAAAUGCAAAUGCCUAUUAACAUAUUCAUAUAUUAAUAAUCCAACACUAAAAAUCCUACAUCCACAUCAUACCACAUAAUACUAAAAAAUAUAAACAACAAAAUUCAAAAUAACAUAUUUAAAAAUCAUAUCCAAAAUCAACGAACUUUUUUAUCGAUCAAUAUUAAUUAAUUGUCCUUUCACAUGUCAAUCUACAAAGCAAAAUGAGCUAUGCAUUACUCGGCAUUAUAUAAUACUAGCAAUUAUAUAAUGAAAUGUAAACAUCAUAUCUAGAAUUAAAUUUCCAUUAUCUUGCAGAUAAAAUACUGUAAUAUUUUUACCUGUACAAGCACGAAUCUUUCAAUACCCCGCGUGCUGGGUCACCUACUACAACUAUUGUAUAUACAUGUAUAGUCACCACCAAAUUUCUUCUAGUCAGUUUCACCACUAAGAGGGUGUUUCGCUGAGCUUAUAAGCUCCUCAAAACAGCUUCUCCAAAGUGUUUAACAAAAUAAGCUUCCAAACAGCUUAUAAGCUCCCCAAACAAUAAUUUUCUUUACCCCAACUUAUUUUUUAUAAUCUCAUAUGCAACAAUCAUUUUAUAAAUAUUUUUCAACUGCAAUUUAUUAUUUUCAUUAUAUAUCAUUCAAGUUCAUUUUUCUUCGAUUUUCUCUCUCUAAAAAAAUAUUUUCUCUCUCUAACAAAAAAUUCUCUCUCUCUAACAAAAAAUUCUCUCUCUAGCUUAUAAGCUCAAUUAUCCAAAUACUUUGUCAACUUAUAAACUCUUAAAAAUUACAUCUUAUAAGCUCUUGAAAUAUUUUAUAAGCUCCAAGAGCUUAUAAACUCUUUAAAAUAAGCUUAGCCAAACACCCUCUAAGCAAUUUCAUGUAUCCACCACCACCACAUAUGUUACGAUAUUAAAGCUUUAGAAUUUAAAGUUAAUAAUAGACGAAAAAUGUACACUUUCACAUUAACAACCUUAAUAUAUUAAGAGUACCCGUUUGUCAUAUUCUUUAUCUAUGUAUGUAUUUUACAAUGUCACGACAAUUAACAAUAUAAUAUCUGAAAUAGUACGUCACGUACACGGAACUAACUCAUUUAUACGUCGACCAAAAUUUCUUACUAUAUUUUUGUCGUGCACCACCUCGAUUAAUCAGUAAUGAUCAUUUACAAAGUGAAAAAAAUAGUACUUAAAAUUCAAUUAGCAAUUAAAAAAUAGGGUUAAUAGUGUUUUAUGUCCCGAACUUUCAGCGUUUUUCAUAAAAUAUUCUGAACUUUUAUUUUCUCUUAAAAAACCCUGAACUUUCAAUUUUUUUCCAUAAAAUGUCCCGCUAUACAAAAUUCGAUAACGGAAAGAUGAUUUAAAAAACCCGAACUUUCAGCGUUUUUCAACCAUAGUAGUUCCCAAUAUGGUGGCGGCCCCAAAAUAUUUCUUUCAGCGAGAUAAUUCAUCUUUUUGUCACCAAAAUUUGUAUAGUGAGAUAUUUUAUGGAAAAAACUGAAAGUUCAGAAUUUUUAAAAAGAAAAUAAAAAUUCGAAAUAUUUUAUGAAAAACGCGGAUAGUUCGGGAUAUAAAAUACUAUUUAUCAUAAAAAAAUAAUGUCUUGGUAACAACACAAGGCAGGCAGCCGGCUUAUAAGAAUACUAUGCAUUAGUAUAAUUUUUCCUUGACUUAAAUAGUAAACACUAAACACAAGAACCACAACCAUUAUAUAUCAAAACUUUGACCAUAUCAUCAAAUUCCCCUUCAUAGAGGUGUGUGUGUGUGUGAGGGGAGAGUGUGUGUGUUGAUCAAUGGAGGCAAAGGAAGCAAGUCUAUCGAUCUUAAUGUUCCCAUGGCUAGCCCACGGCCAUGUCUUCCCCUACCUCGAGCUAGCCAACCAUCUCUCCAACCUAAACUUCACCAUCUUCUUCUGCUCCACUCCCAUCAUCCUCCAAUCCCUCCCCGACCACCGCGACACCCCGAUCACCCUAAUCCCUCUCCACCUCCCCUCCCCGCCAGAUCUCCCGCCGGAGCUCCACACCACCAAGCACACGCCGCCCCACCUCAUGCCGCGCCUCCGGGAGGCCUUCCACGCCUCCCAAGCAGCCUUCUCCGCCAUCCUCGCCUCCCUCAGCCCCAGCAUGCUCAUCUUCGACUUCUUCCAGCCCUGGGCCGCCGAUGCCGCCGCCGCCCUGAACAUCCCCGCCGUCCACUUCGCCACCACCGGCGCCGCCGCCUACUCCUUCUACUACCACAACUUCACCAGAAAGGGCUCCCCCUUCCCCCACGGCGCGAUGUACCUCCACCCCACGAGUGGGCGGCGCUGCGGGCCACCACCUCCAAUCUCAAAAUGGACAACUUAGAAAGCGGGAUCCCCCACUUCAACCGCUCCCGCGACGUCGUUUUGAUGAAGACGGCGCGGGCCGUCGAAGGGAAAUACAUGGAUUACCUUUCUCAGUUGUGUAACAAGAAAAUACUCGCCGUGGCCCACUUAUUACAACUACCUCCGACAAUGCCGGACAUGGUAAGAGAAUUUAUUAUCAAAUUGAAUUAUAGAAAAUAUAGCUUAUAUCGAGAACUUUUGAUGCAGAUUCCGACAUCAUGGAUUGGUUAGCAAGAAAGAGAGAUUCUCGACCAUUUUCGUCUCAUUUGGAAGCGAGAACUACUUGUCCAAGAAUCAAAUGGAAGAAAUGGCGAAAGGUCUAGAAGCUUCGAAUGCCAACUUCAUAUGGGUGGUGAGGUUUCCUCGAGGGGAGAGAGAGGAAGAAACCGAAGAAGCGCUGCCGUUAGGGUUUGCUGAGAGAGUUGGAGAGAGGGGGAAGAUAGUGGAGGGGUGGGCCCCGCAGACCAAGAUUUUGGCGCAUGAGAAUGUUUGCGGUUUCAUUAGUCAUUGUGGGAUGAGUUCUACGAUGGAGAGCUUGUAUUUCGGGGUGCCGGUGAUCGGCGUUCCGAUCAAGCUCGAUCAGCCGUUGAAUUCGAGGCUGCUGACAGAGGCCGGUCUUUGUGUCGAGGUGGCGAGAGACGAGAACGGAGAUUUUCGAGGAGAUGAUGUGGCGGCGGCGAUCGGAAGAGUUGUGGAGAGUGGGGAGGGGAUGAGGGCUGGGGCGGCGGAGAUCAGGGAGGCGAUGAGGGCGGAGGAAGCGUGCGCGGUCGGUGAGGCAGCGGAGCAUCUCAGGCGAAUUUGUGUCGAGAGCGUAUGAUCUAGUUGGUGGAGUGACGAUUUUAUAAUCUUAUGAAAAUCAAGAGAAUUUAGUGUUUAUUGAUUUAAUUGUAAAUUGAUUAAUACCUAAAAUCACAAAUUUUAAAUUUGAAUUCAUCGUCAUGUAAUUUUUUUAGAAUAUUUAUUUCUACCAGAAACACUUGGAACAAUGAUAAUUGCAUCGUGUAGAAAAGCUUAUUGUUGGUGUUUAUAAUCUGCAACUGUAUUACUUCAAAGAAAAUGAAGAGAUAUCGCCAUAGAUUAAUUAUGAGAUUCUCUAAAGAAAUGCAACAAUAAUCAUGUCUAGUGUCGGAGACUCAGUCACAUUCAAACACUAGUAAAAUUAUAAAUAUACUAGUAUUAAAUAUUAGUCAUAUAUAAAAUCCUGGAACAAGUACGUUCGAUUAUUCAUGUGUUCCAAUAUUCUUCGUGUCCCACUUGAAUCUAUUAUACGUAUCGUUUUAAUAAUACAUUUGUUUGUAUAUAUAUAUAAUAUGGCCUUAUUUAAGAUUUAUUAAUGUCAAAAGGAGAUUUAUUAAUUAAUUAAAACUAAACACUUGUGCGCCGGCGGCCGGCCGGCCACCUCUUUUAUUUAUAUAAGGGCAUGGGGCCCAGCCGCAUGGUGCGCCGGCCACCUCUUCAUUUAUUAGGUUUAUUUUAGAUAUCUUUAUUUAUUUUAUUUAUUUUUUGAAAUACAAGACAUGUAUAUUUGAUAUAAUAUUCAAUAAAAAAAAUAUUUUAUAUAAUAAAAGAAAAUUCUAGAAUCAAUGAUCAAAUAUCCAAACUAAAUAAGAGAAAUUUUGGUGUCUCAACAUUGCCCUUUUUUCUUCUCUUGAUUCUUUGUUAGGAGUAAUACAGUAUUUUAGCACAAAUUUUGCUCGAAAUCCAUUUUUUGUAUAAUCUUUAAAAAAAAUUAUUUUUUAUCACAAGUUUUGAUAUUUGUUCAAUUUUCUCACAAUUUUUAUUUUCCCUUAAAUCGGAAUCGACGUGGCACUGAUGUGGCUAGCUAGCUGGCACACACCAUACUUGUUGCUUUCCGGUGUAUUAAACGCAACGUUUCAUAAAAAAAUGAUUUUUUUAAACAUUAUGGGAAAAAUGGAUUUCGGACAAUAUUCUUGAUAUUACAUGCAAUUAACUCAAGAAAAAAACACAAAUAUUUUUUUGCAAAGUCUGCAACUUCCUCCCAUUCCAAAUUUUUAAAGAAUAUCAAACUCUGAAAUACUACAUUUUUCCCAACCUAAAAUGAUGUCAAAUAGGUGGAGAAAUGUUACAGCACACUGAAAUUAGGCAUAAUAUAGGAACUCAUAUGUUACAAUUAAAACUAGAAAUUCAUCUUAAACAUCUGCAGCUUCUUGUCUGCUGUUUCUUCAAACAAAUUAAAGCUACUCGCCUCUACUUGACCCAUAAUUUGUUCAUCUUCCCUCUUCAACAAUUUACUCAAUCCAUUAUAGAUGAUCAUUUAAGGCCACAUUAAUUAACGUUUAUUCAAGAAUCAAGAAUAUUGAAUUUUCUUUAUAAACAAUGCUGCUUGAGAUAAUCAAAACAGAACACUGGAAUCACAUUCUCCAAGAGUUUUAUUCUUCACCAUUUAAUGAGCAUAAGGUAUAUAUUGAAAAGUGAUCAAAUAAAUUUUGUUAAGUGAGUAAUUAUAAAGUGACAAAUCAGGAUCUUUAUUAUGUGAUGAGGAAUCGUACGUCAUGGACAUAUAUAACUGACAAAUGCAACAAACAAAUGGCAAGAAAAUUAACAUGUAGAGUUCGAGGGUUUUUUAGGACAGUAACUUAGAUUGAUUUGAAAAUUAGGACAAUAUCUUUCGAACUUGUAAAAAUAGAACACUAAUUUUUUUUAAAAAUAAAAUAGGACACUAAUUUUACGACGCUUAUUAUCGGCCGAGAAAUGUCCUAUUUUUACGACGCUUAUUAAUUAAUGUCCUAUAUAUUUUACUCUAAAAAAAUUAGUGUCCUAUUUUCACAAGUCCGAAAGUUUUUGUCCUAAUUUCCAAAUCAACAUAAGUUAUUGUCCUAAAAAAUCCCUUGACUCAACAUGUUAUGAUAAAGAAAUAGAGAAAAUGGCCCUCAUUGAUUAAAGAAGAAUUCAAAGUUUAUUUUGUUAUGUCAUCUGAAUCUCAUGCCUUGAUUAAAAAACAUUAAUUAAGAUAUGCAAUCUAAAAUAGAACUUCUUUAUUUUGUCUCAUUCAAUCAUUAAAGAAAUGUGUGAAGACUUCAUAUAUAGUUCAUCAAUAGACCUAUAUUCAUACCUCCCAGUGUGCGUGUGUGUGUGUGUGUGAGAGAGAGAGUGUGUGUUUUGAUCGAUGGAGGCAAAGCAAGCAAGUCUGUCGAUCCUAAUGUUCCCAUGGGUAGCCCAUGGCCAUGUCUUCCCCUACCUCGAGCUAGCCAACCACCUCUCGAAGCUAAACUUCACCAUCUUUCUCUGCUCCACUCCCAUCAUCCUCCAAUCCCUCCCCGACCACGGCGACAUCCCGAUCACCCUCGUCCCCCUCCACCUCCCCUCCCCGCCGGAGCUUCCGCCGGAGCUCCACACCACCAAGCACGCGCCGCCCCACCUCAUGCCGCGCCUCCACGAGGCCUUCCACGCCUCCAAAGCCGCCUUCUCCGCCAUCAUCGCCUCCCUCAGCCCCAGCAUGCUCAUCUACGACUGCUUCCAGGCCUGGGCCGCCGAAGCCGCCGCCGCCCUGAACAUCCCCGCCGUCCACUUCGCCACCACCGGCGCCGCCGCCUACUCCUUCUACUACCACCACCUCACCAGGAAGGGCUCCCCCUUCCCCCACGACGCGAUGUAC